rnacentral:lncRNA from 13 species
AAAAAAAAAAAAAAAAAAAAAAAAAAAAAAAAAAAAAAAAAAAAAAAAAAGAGGUCAGGUGCAGUGGCUCACGCCUGUAAUCCCAGCACUUUGGGAGGCCGAGGCGGGUGGAUCACGAGGUCAAGAGAUUGAGACCAUCCUGGUCAACAUGGUGAAACCCCGUCUCUACUAAAAAUACAAAAAAUUAGCUGGGCAUGGUGGCGUGUGCCUGUAAUCCCAGCUACUCGGGAGGCUGAGGCAGGAGAAUUGCCUGAUCCUAGGAGGUGGAGGUUGUGGUGAGCCGAGAUCGCGCCAUUGCACUCCAGCCUGGGUAACAAGAGCGAAACUCGUCUCAAAAUAAAUAAAUAAAGUUUUUCA